GCCUGGGUGGCUCAGUCGGUUGAGCAUCUGACUUCGGCUCAGGUCCUGAUCUCUCAGUCAGUCCAUGAGUUCGAGCCCCAUGCCGGGCU
rnacentral:tRNA from 1 species